UACCCGAAGAUAAUCUGCUUUGCGAUCUCCCCCAUUUUUCACUUUUCGUGAGUUUAGCAGACAUCUUGUUUAAGGGGAGAACUCACAUUUUUCACGUUGUUUUGUUUUUUUGUAGCAUCCAACAACGUCGUCUAUUGUUGUCUUGAGCCAUUGUGUUGACUGUUGCUGUGUACUUCAUUUUCCAAUCCCAAUUUGCAAAGAUUCGGGUACGAAACAAUUUGCCUAAAACCACAACAUCCAUCUGAGAACGAACUUAAAAAAAUGGCGCCGAUCAACGUUGAUCCAACUUAAUUUUUUUGACACAGGCAAAUUAGGGAGAUUGUAUUGUGUUGUCGUCUUUGGUUUGUCAGACACAGGUACGACCCUCGGCUCGUUUUUUUUUUUUUUUUCGAGGGGUGUAAUGUAUUGUUAUCCUCAAUGAACUGCUGCUGUAAUGAGCGUGUAAAACACACAUCAGGCAACGGCGGCAUUUCGAUUUUUCGAGCUGCUGUUGCCCCACGUAGAAUUUUUGGCAGGUGCCACAAAACGUCGACAUUCCGUUAGAAAUGCACCAAGGCAGUCAAAAUGCAGAGGGGUGUGUAGGUGGUGGGCAUAUCAUUUCUAGACCGACUUCCUGGACGAAGGGCGCGAGCGGUGCAUUCCAUCACGUUCAUGUCUUCAAUUUCAAGGUUUUAUGGUGAUGUUUCUUGCUGUCGAUGUCUACAUGGCAAAAAGGCAUCACCGGACAUGCACAAGUAUGCAGUCCAGAUGGGGGUUGGACAAUAGUGUGAUGGUAUUCAGGUCAAACUCCGCCCCUUUCGCCUACAUCUUGCCUUUGCUAUCAGCCAUCGGUUUCUAAGCCGGUCUCUUUUUUUCUCUCACACGGCCUUUUUUCUCUCUUUCUCUUUCUCGUAAGGCAUAGAGAAGAAAACGUCUUUGAAAAAUAUCGGCUACGUAUUAGGUUUUCAUCAUAACCUGAGUUUGUUUAUCAGUGCCAUUUUGGAAUAAAGGGGGCCGAAAAAAAAUGGCGUCUCAUUUGUAUUUAGACACAAGUAAACCUUUAGACUGAUGGAAUAGAUUGACACGCGUCUGAAAACAAGAGGGCGCGUUGCCACUGCAACAGAGCUCAUUCAUUCAAAAAGAGUUUGGAGUUUGAAACGUAUAGCUUUUUCUUAUCUGCUUUCCGAACGCAGACCCUGACUUUUCCUCGCUUCCCCUGCAGCUGUAGCCAUUCAUAAAACCGGCCAAAAUGCUCUCUCCAUGUGCACAUGAAUACAACGUAGCCAUGUUUUCUCCAUCCAUCGACAUUCCUGCGACUUUCUUCCACACCAAAAUGUCUACGCCACCUCUUAUGGAAAAAGAAACGCGUCAUCUCUUUGGCCUAAGAAUUAUCCACAGACCUCCUUUUCUAGAACCACAUCAACUGCUAAACCAAAAAGCUUAAAUGACUGUCAGGCAUGGAACAAAAAAUAAAAUAAAAAAAUGGAGAAGGAAAAAAAAGAAAAGAUUGAGCUCUAUGGCCUAACGUAUUGAGAGGAUAAGCGCUCGACACAAAACAAAAAUAAAAUAGAGCCAAAGCCGCAGACAUCCGCUCCAAUUUCACCUCCUCCUCCGCAACCGCUUCCACACAUGGAGGCGAACACUGCGCCAUCUUUUUUUUUUGUUUUUCUAGAUAAAUAAUCCUUUUUGCCUUUGAUUUCAUUCAACGGCUUGUUUUGCGCUAUUUGAAUGAAUUUUUUUGUAUUUAAACAUGUUAAAUCAACUUGGUUGAAAUGACACAUAAUUGUAUAUCAUUGAGAAGUGACGCCCACCAAAGUUCAUUGAUUUUGCCGGUAGAGGACUGAUGAUCAUGUCCCUUAUAUGUAGUGUGGAUUUUGGGAUUAAAUUGCCGUAUGCCACUGGUAAAACAAGUACUUAGAUUUAGGCAUUUGGCCAAAGAUCCGGUGAAAUGAUGUUGGCAUGACAACAACUAAACCCGAAGCCUGCCCCCCUCCUCCUCCCCCCCCUUUCGACUUUCUUGUUUCUCCACCAUUUUUGUGCGACUUGCAACUCUUCGCCUUUUCUCGCUGUGCCAAAGGUGUUUCGAUUCUAAAACGAUAAAAAAAGAAACUGAUAAGUGAACGUUCAUGUCACCAAAAACUG